GGGGGUGUGGUGUAAUUGGUAGCAUAAAGGAUUCCAAAUCCUUUGGUUGCAGUUCAAGUCUGUACACCCUU
rnacentral:tRNA from 1 species